UACGGAGGGUGCAAGCGUUAUCCGGAUUCACUGGGUUUAAAGGGUGCGUAGGAGGGCAGGUAAGUCAGUGGUGAAAUCUCCGAGCUUAACUUGGAAACUGCCGUUGAUACUAUCUGUCUUGAAUAUUGUGGAGGUGAGCGGAAUAUGUCAUGUAGCGGUGAAAUGCUUAGAUAUGACACAGAACACCAAUUGCGAAGGCAGCUCGCUAAACCAUAACUGACGCUGAUGCGCGAAAGCGUGGGGAGCAAACAGG
rnacentral:rRNA from 1 species